rnacentral:rRNA from 1 species
CACGUAGGGGACGAGCGUUGUCCGGAUUCAUUGGGCGUAAAGCGUCCGCAGGUGGUCGUGCAAGUGCGCUGUGAAAGCGGCCCGCUCAACGGGCCGAGGCCAGCGCAGACUGCGCGACUCGAGGUCGGGAGAGGUCGGUGGAAUUGCCGGUGUAGUGGUGAAAUGCGUAGAUAUCGUAAGGAACGCCAGUGGCGAAAGCGAAUCUCUGGGCAGCAACUGACGCUGAGGCACGAAGGCCAGGGGAGCAAACGGGG